GAUGAAGAACGCAGCGAAAUGCGAUACGUAAUGUGAAUUGCAGAAUUCAGUGAAUCAUCGAGUCUUUGAACGCACAUUGCGCCCCCUGGUAUUCCGGGGGGCAUGCCUGUUCGAGCGUCAUUACACCACUCAAGCUAUGCUUGGUAUUGGGCGUCGUCCUUAGUUGGGCGCGCCUUAAAGACCUCGGCGAGGCCACUCCGGCUUUAGGCGUAGUAGAAUUUAUUCGAACGUCUGUCAAAGGAGAGGAACUCUGCCGACUGAAACCUUUAUUUUUCUAGGUUGACCUCGGAUCAGGUAGGGAUACCCGCUGAACUUAAGCAUAUCAAUAAGCGGAGGA
rnacentral:misc_RNA from 1 species